rnacentral:rRNA from 1 species
UUCGCAAUGCCCGAAAGGGUGACGAAGCGACGCCGCGUGCGGGAAGAAGGCCUUCGGGUUGUAAACCGCUGUCGGGAGUUAAGAAAUGUAAGGAUGUUAAUAGCAUCUUUGCUUGACUAAGGCUCCGGAGGAAGCCACGGCUAACUCUGUGCCAGCAGCCGCGGUAAUACAGAGGCGGCAAGCGUUGUUCGGAAUUAUUGGGCGUAAAGAGCACGUAGGCGGCCUUGUAAGUCAGUUGUGAAAGCCUUCUGCUCAACGGAAGAACAGCAUCUGAUACUGCAAGGCUAGAGUGCGGAAGGGGAGAGUGGAACUUCUGGUGGAGCGGUGAAAUGCGUAGAUAUCAGAAGGAACACCGGCGGCGAAGGCGACUCUCUGGUCCGUAACUGACGCUGAGUGUGCGAAAGCUAGGGGAGCAAACGGGAUUAGAUACCCCGGUAGUCCUAGCCGUAAACGAUGGGCACUAAGUAGAGGGGUUUU